ACUUGUAACUUUUUUGAGCAUUUGAUUUGAAAUCAAAUUGAUUGUUUUUAUUAACAAUACAAGUU
rnacentral:tRNA from 1 species